CAUCUGCCCAUUCAGCCACUUGGUUUGACUCACAGGCUUGGACUUGACUUUCAUUCCUACCGCUGCAGCCACUGAUGAUAAUUUGCAGCAUGUGGAAUCUAGUUACCUAAACAGGAUGGAACCCAGGCCUCCUGCACUGGGAGUUUGGAGUCUUAGCCACUGGAGGACCAGCGGGGAAGUCCCAGACUACUUCUUCAAACUUUUACUCUGUACUGCCUCCCUUCUCCCCGGGAGCUCACCUUUGUGGUUGGUCCCCACUUCAGAGGACAGUGGCAGAGGCUGUAGAACAGACGGACUGAUGCUCAGUCGUGUCCGACUCUUUGUGACCCCAUGGACUGCAGCACACCAGGAUUCCCUGUCCUUCACCAUCUCCCGGAAUUUGCUCAGACUCAUGUCCAUUGAGUCAGUGAUGCCAUCCAACCAUCUCGCCCUCUGUUGUCUGCUUCCCCUCCUGUCAUACAGCAUGUUAAACUUGAUUGCACACCACACUGCAACAUCAAUAAGAGAAGUAAUAUUAAGCAAACCCAGAGAUACUAAGUCCGAAAAAAACAUUUGAUUUGUUCAUUUGAAAACAAAGUAGAACUAUUGCUCAAAAAAGGGCUGAGUCUAUUUAUUGAUACUUUAGGAGUUCUCAAUCCUGAGGAAUUAAUAUUCUGAGUGAUAGAAAAUAGAGUUUAGCCUUUCAGGGAAAAAAAGUAGUUCUUCGAAGUAACUCAUCCUCCUGAAAUGUUGCUUAGCCUCUGAUUCCAAGCCAGCCCCUAUACUGCUCCUGUCUGAUUCUAACUUGCAGCCUUUCAAAAGGCCCCUUUCCUUG
ensembl:lncRNA